GGGAAGGUGGCUCAGUGGUAGAGUGUUUGCCUCACAUGCAUGAGGCCCUUUCUCA
rnacentral:tRNA from 1 species